GGAACCACAUAAGGAAAUGAGGUUCAGAGACAUUUAUCGAGUUGUCUAAAGUCACGCAGCCAGAGCAGUGGCUGCUCUGGAAGAAGUCAAGCUGGCCUGGGGUGGAAAAGGUCUGCACGGAGAAGCCAGACUUCUUUUGUUGCAGCAAGUAAGGCUGGAAGACAGGGCUAGACACAGACAACGGAACGGUGUUGUUACUGAUCCUUCUUUGAUUCUAGAUUCCACUGUCUUCUAAAUGUGUGACCUCAGGCAAGUUGCUUAACCUCUCUGAGCUUUGGAUCCCUCAUCAUUCAACUGAGGAUAAUCAGACUGAUUCCACAUGCUUCCUACCACGUGAUGCUGCCGCCCUGGCCACAACUUGGAUCACCAAUGGCCUCUUGUGAUCCUCUGUAGAAUGCCAGCUGCCUGAAAGUAGGUUGUGAGCCUCACCAAUGGGAAUGUCUAGCUGGGAUAGUUACUAAGCCAUCAGAGCUUCUGACGGGACAUUGGAAUGGGAGAUACUCUGAGAGGAUCCAGAGAAUGAGGUGGUCCAGAGCCUAGAGACAGAGAGAGGGAUAUGUGGAAGCCGGUAGUAAACAAAAACAUCGUGACGGGGGAAAGAAGAGUGGGGAGGUCAGUCUUGUGGUGGCAGCGCUCAUGAUAAAUAGAGGCAUUUGCAAAGAGAGGGCAGUCAUGGAGGCCCUGAGGCUGCAAGAGCCACCGAUAGGCAGGCAGGCUACGAGGAAGAUGGGAAGGGAAUGAUUUGAAGCUGAGAACAGCAGCGGGAGGGGUGGGAGUACAGGUGGAAGAGGAGCCUGGACAGAGGUACAAGUUCCCGGGUUGCUCUAGGGUCCCUCCAGCUGCUGUGGCCUCCACAGCCUCCUCAGACAGCUGGGUUGCCACCACCUCAGCAUACUCUGGCAGCUGUUUUCUCAAACAAGCUCUGGGUAUCUUGUAGAGACAGAGAAAAAAAAUACAACGUGGCCUUUCCCCCCAGGGAGUGCUUCAUCUCGUUCUCAUAGAAGUAGAGCUAAUACGGAACACACAAAAUCAAGUGGUGGCGACACCCACACACUUCCUAACUGGGCAGACGUGGACUUCAGUCCUAGCUCUGCCAUCUGCUGACCGUGGAAGCUGGGAAGAAGCUGGUGAUCCCCGCGGGGCUCCUCGUGCUCCUGGGGGGCGCAGGUGCGCAGGGCCCACGGGCCUGGCCUGUCCCACGGCCACAUCACACUCGUCCUAGUUUCCGGGCCUUCCCCCACUGUGCCCUGCUGGGAUGCAGCCCCCUUUUGCUCUGGGAGACGAGACGAAAGCCGAGGGAGAGAGAAGACCAGAAACACACGUCGAGAAAGGCUGCCUCCAGUUAUCCCGGCGAGGGGGCCCCAGGGCCCAACUUCCUUGACCGAGACUCGCACCAGUGCCUCCCGGGCCCGCUGGCACGAGGCCACCGUGAGCUGCGCGCCCGCCCGGCACCGGGCCUCUGCGAGCGGCCUCCGCGCUGGAGAGGGACCGAGGGACAAGGACGCUCCAGCUGCAGGCCAGUUCCUAGAAAGUCCGAUGAAAUGGAUGUCAUUCCUUUGCUCCAAGAAGUGCUUACUAGGCACCCACAAUGAUUUCGGAGUCACCCUGGGGGAGGCGCACCUGUCCCACCGCGGAGGCCACCUCCAUGCGUGCAGCAGGUGGAAGAGCAGUAGGCACUUUCCCCGAUGGUAAGCGCCGUCUCCUGCGCUGCUGGUGCCCCCUGAAAUCCCAUUCCUGCUGCUCCUGCACCCUGGUAAAGCGGUGUCGUGACA